GAUGAACGCUAGCUACAGGCUUAACACAUGCAAGUCGAGGGGUAACGAGAGGAAAGCUUGCUUUCCUUGUCGACGACCGGCGCACGGGUGAGUAACGCGUAUCCAACCUGCCCCCAACUAGGGAAUAACCUUGCGAAAGUAAGACUAAUACCCUAUAAUUUCCUCAGAUGACAUCUGACGAGGAAUAAAGAUUUAUCGGUUGUGGAUGGGGAUGCGUCUGAUUAGCUUGUUGGCGGGGUAACGGCCCACCAAGGCAACGAUCAGUAGGGGUUCUGAGAGGAAGGUCCCCCACAUUGGAACUGAGACACGGUCCAAACUCCUACGGGAAGCAGCAGUGAGGAAUAUUGGUCAAUGGGCGGAAGCAUGAACCAGCCAAGUAGCGUGCAGGAUGACGGCCCUAUGGGUUGUAAACUGCUUUUAUACAGGAAUAAAGUUAGCCACGUGUGGUUAUUUGUAGGUACUGUAUGAAUAAGGACCGGCUAAUUCCGUGCCAGCCGCCGCUGUAA
rnacentral:rRNA from 1 species